UACGUAGGGAGCAAGCGUUGUCCGGAAUCAUUGGGCGUAAAGCGCGCGUAGGCGGCCCUGUAAGUCCGUUGUGAAAGUCAAAGGCUCAACCUUUGAAAGCCGAUGGAUACUGUGGGGCUAGAGUCCGGAAGAGGCGAGUGGAAUUCCUGGUGUAGCGGUGGAAUGCGCAGAUAUCAGGAGGAACACCAAUAGCGAAGGCAGGUCUCUGGGCCACUACUGACGCUGAGAAGCGAAAGCGUGGGGAGCGAACAGG
rnacentral:rRNA from 1 species